rnacentral:RNase_P_RNA from 4 species
GGAGCGGAUGGGACGGUCGCUGCCUGCUGGUCGUGACAACCGGCCGGCAGGGAGAGGAAAGUCCGAACACCGUAGAGCAGCGAGCCGGCUAACGGCCGGGCGCGUCCGAAGCGUCGGCUACGACCUGUCGGGCGCGACGACAAGUGCAACAGAGAACAGACAGCCUGACUUACACGCCCUUCGGGGUGUGCGAGUGGCGAUGGUGAAACGGUGCGGUAAAGGCGCACCAGCGAGCGUGGUAACACGUUCGGCUAGGCAAACUCCUCGCGGUGCAAGACCAAAUAUGGAGGUGUCUGAGGGCUGCUCGUCCAAGUCCUGCUCCGGCAGGCACAUCUCCGGGUAGGUCGCUUGAGCUGCCGGGUAACCGGCAGCCUAGAUGAAUGACCGUCGCCGUCCCCGUGACGGAACAGAAUUCGGCUUACACAUCCGUUCCCAAU